rnacentral:lncRNA from 1 species
ACCCAUGGUGCCAUGUGGUUAGUAUAAAUAGCACAGAAGCUGCAGCCAAAAGGAGAGCAGCGCAUAUAUUCACAGAAAGAAUAUAGGUGACUUAAAACUUCCCCGGCAGAACUUCACUGAAACAGCUCUGGAAAGAGCGGUGACAGUUAACCAGAUUUGUAGACCUUCCCACGUACCCUUAUGGACAGAGUCAAACAUGGAGCUGUUGGCAAAGCAGAAAUGUGGUCUGCAGAGUUUGAGCCCCAGUGUCACAAAGCAGAGUGUAAAAGGGUAAAUAACAGCUUACAAGCAGAAGUCACGAAGAUCUUACUGAAAAUAACCAUAACAUAAUCUUUCAUCUAAAGACUUUCCUGGCUCCUCCUGUAUAGUGCUUUACUUUGCUGAACUUGCAUACACACCAGGUUAAUUUAUAGUUGGAGAAAAGCCUUAUAACUCUUAAAGCCCCCUAACUCACUCUCCAGCUUCCAAGGACACAGGGGUUAUGUCAACAUGCUGGGAUGCUAUAGGGACAUUAAAAUGACAAACGUGCUAACUAAUGUCAAUAUAUGGACAUGGUAAUACAAAAUUUAAAAAUUAAAAAAAAAAAUCCCAGAAGACAACAUCCUAGGGGUACUUAUAUAUAACAAUGUAAAGUUUAUAGAUGUACAUGAAAAGAUUGGAAGUAAAAUUGGAAUAAUGUGAAUUAAAUUGAAAUAAGUCAUUGUACCUCAAUGUUCCAUUUUUUCUUUCUAUAAAAUUGUGCAAGUUCAUAAUUGUUUUUUUAAAGAAAAAAUGAGAAAAUUUGCUCAUUUGUGUUUCCCAAACUGCUUCUCUAUUAGAUCUGUGUCCAUGCCAAUGGUUUUUUUUUUUUGUAUCUUCUUUGAACAAAUAAAGUAAUGUUGGUUUUGUCUGACCUAUAACCCCAGCUUUUUAAACACUUUAUGCUUUUACAGCUGUUUAGUAUAAUAUCAUAGACUGAGUAGAGUUUGCCCUCUGAAUUAAUUUUCAAAAUAAGAUCAAUAUGUACAAUUAAAGAAAAUCACUAUAAAAACUAUACUAUCUAUCAUACAACAUAUCGUUGGCUCUCUUGGUUUUUAAAAGUAGUAACAGUGCCUGACUUUGUCCUGCUUUGUGCAGAAUGAGACAUGAUGAAAGUAUUUUGUGUGCUGACAAUAAAACACAGUGGAGAGGAAAAGGAAAAAGCUGCUCCUGUGAAAAUGCUUUCCUUCAAUAGGAAACUCUUCGUUCCUGGUUGAAGAGGCACGGAGAAAACACAGCCAUGAAAACACAGUUCUUCUUCUAGUCACAAACAUGCCUUUGGCACUGAUCAAGGCACCCCCCAAGGAUGAGGGCUGGGGCAAAGGACUAUUAAACUAGAAUGUUCUCAAUUUUUCUUUUACUGUCUCAAGGCCAUCUAGUAAAUGUUCUUGCAACUA